rnacentral:misc_RNA from 1 species
AGCUUGUGGCUUGUUCUGAGAGAGAUUGCUCACAUUCUGAAAAAAAAAAUAGGUCCCUUUGCACUGCAUAAAAUGCCGUCAAACAAGGUGCUUGUCGUCACUGGCGCCGUGCUCGCGUCAGCUGCCCUCAUCGGCACUGUUGUCAUCAUGAGCUCCCACAAGAAGAGCACUGAGGACAACGAUGAUGACGCCUUCUGUGCGCCGCUAAGCAGCCUUUCGCAGUCAAAGAAGCAGACCUUUUCGGUAGCCAAAAAUACUGCGCGGCCCUCCGAGUCUGCCGCCUCCGAGGCGACUGCGUCGCAGAAGAAGCCGAAGGUAGCGCUAGAGACGCAGCCCGCGGCAGCGAAGAUGGAUGCCGCGGCGCAUGCUGACGUCAAGGUCCCUGCAGCAGCCGACGCGGCGGCGUCGCUUCUUGAGGAGGCAUUGGACGAGCUGGAGCCGACGAGACCGGCAGCUUCUGCUGAGGAGACUAAGGUGGCCGGUAAGCGGACAGUCGCCGAAGUGGCAGCUGCGGAUACCGCUGAUCGCAAGACGUUUCAGCACCUUGGCAUUUCGAUGAAGGUGCCGGAAGGCUGGGAGGUGCGGGAGGAGCUGUCGCCGAUCCCGAAUGUGGCGAUGGUGACGGUGUGGAACCCGGAGUUCGAGCAUUUUCCGAACGCUGAAAUGCCCGGUGCCGUGCCGGUGAUUAUUCUCUCCGUAGAGGAUAUUCGUGGCGAGAACUUGAACCUUGUCGAGUUCAAGGACCGCUCAAAGGACUUAUCGAUGCAGCAGAUGCUCAUGAUGACAGGUGGCGUCGUGCAGCCGAUCGUUCGCAAGGAUAGCAGCGUGCAGGAGGGUUCGUUUCGCCACAUUCUGGAGUACUCCCAGAGCAUGCCUCCGUUUUUCGACUUGUCGGUUAUCAAUCUGCUGGAGGUGCGCAACGGCGUCGCAUACGUAUUCCAGAUCAUGUGCAACCCGAAGAUCAUGAAUCAGUACCGCCCGAUCUUCACGCAGCUGGCGCGCGAUAUCGUGGUCACCCCCAUGGACUCCAGCUCCCUCGGCUUCUUUCGCGUGCACACCGGCAAGGUUUCCAUGGAUAUCGAUACCACAUGGAGCUGGUCGUACCCGGAUGCCGGCGACGAGGCUGCACUCCACCUCGCACAGUUUCAGCUCGCCUCCACCGUGAAGAAAGAGGAGAUCACCCUCUACGAGGUGAGCAAGGCCCCGGCGACGGUGCACAAGCAGCGCAAAGAAAAAACAGUGGAUGGAGUCACGAUUUGCUCUGCCUUUGACGGCACACAGGAGAAGAAGACGUUCACUUACAACAACUACUGCCUUGUUGUUCACCCGCAGCAGAAGGCCAUCUCGUACCUCUCCGAGGCAGCACUGGUGCGCGCCGUGAAGAGUGUGACACCGUCGACGGAGCCGCCGAAACCGAAGUGCGGCGCAGCCUUCAUCACGACAGAGUACGGCUACACCUUCGACGUGAUCGGUGCCAGCCGCGUCGUCUCAACGAAGCUGGGCAAUGGCACUGUUGUGUACGCGCCGCAGGGUAUUCCGUCGGACCCGUCCAAGGCCGCGUCGCCUGAGGAGACCGGACCGACUGUCACCAUCCGCAUUGGCAAGCCAGAGACGGACCCUGACUGCAUGGGCAGCAUUGAGGAGUGGACGGCCCGCAUUCGGGAGGAGGCUGCAAACGGCACCAUCACAAAGAUCCAGGUCGUGCAGUUGAAGGAACAGGAGUGCCUCACCUUCCUGUCCAAGGAGAUGCAGGAGGUGUCGCCGAAGGAGAAGGUGGAGGUAGUCGGCAAGGUUUUCAUUUUCGUUCGCAAUGGUACGACAACGCUUGUGCGCUGGGAGAGCGCGACGGGGACGUGGCGCAAGUACGAGCGAGAUAUGGAGGCGUUCCUCGAGUCCUUCCAGUUUCUUGAGUCGGUGUAGGUGUUGAAGGUACAAUGAGGGUGUGUAGAGAGCAAAAGAAGAUAGUCGUGCAGAAGCUGCACAAGGAGGUGGGAAGGGAAAGUGAGUGACCGAAAGGAGGAGUACACACGGCUGAAAUAGCAGAAAAGAGAACACAGUGACGGAAUAUAGAGGAACACUUGCUAUUGCGGAGCCUCCGCUGCGCAUGUGUGAGAGGGCUUCAUGAAGAAGAUCGUUUAUCAAUGGCCCUGUGCGGUCCCACGCUUUCUUGUGCGCGUUAUUCCCUGGUUGGGCAAGUCUCAAGCUUCAGUGCUUUGCUGUUGAGCCAUUUCUUGUGUAUGCAUGUGCAUGCGUGCGCACGUGCGGAAGUGGGCUGUGCCUUUUUCUUUUGCCUCCUUUUCUGUUUGUGUUCUCCACAUGUCUGGCCCCUCUCCCCCUCUCUCCUCUCCCCCGCUUAUUUACUUAUGCCACCAAGUCUCCUUUUCCUUAUCGUAGCUUUCUUUUUUCUUGCGGCCUUCCUGUUCUUGCGUUCUUCUCUUCCAUGUUGCACCUCGUUUCUCCCUCUCCCACCCCCUCUCUUGUGCGCCCCUCCAUUCUCUCCCCACUUGUUCACAUACAUUUCUCCUGCCGUUUCUUUCGUUGUUUAGGUGACGUGAAGAAACACAAGGAUACCGUCCCCCCUCCAAAGGCGAAAAAAAAAAUAUAUCUCGAUAAGAUGGAAGUAAAGUAGGUAUCCUCAGUGCACUUGUAGACAAACGGGAAACAAACAACCAAAUCACCUAAGCGACGUUUUCCCUUUUUUUCUCGUCUCAAGUUUUUUUUUCCAUGAUACCGACUCCCCCCCCCCCCCCACACACACGAGAGCCCACGCAUUGACUUGCACAUGCAUGCAAACAGCGUCAACAAGCACACAGACACACACAGCUCAUGGCAGUUUUUCAUUUUUAAGCUGCUGGAAUUCGUGUGUCUGUGCGCUUGUCUGUAUGAAUAAAAAAGUAAGUGUGCUUUGUGAGUAUGCUCGUUUUCUUUACUGUCUGUUUGGUGGUGUUGGCGCACCGUGUGCGUCUGCGUUGAUGCCGUUUUCUAUUUUAUUUUGGUCAGUUCUUUGCUUUAGUGCUUUCCGUAUUUGUGUGAACGAUGAAUACCGUUGGAUUGAAGUGGUAGUGGUAGUGGGGGCAGCAGCGAUCACGAUGCGCGAUGUUGAGUCCAGCCCGAGGUGUGCUCAAUCGAAACAGGAAAAGAGAAAUUGCGUCUUUGUGCAUGUGUGGGGAAGAUUUGGCGUGGCGCAGUGCUGUCCUCUGCGUUUUGGCGCUCGUCCUCUUUCGCUGCGCUUUUUCGCUUUUUGGUUUCGUUUCUCCCCCCCCCUCCCCACACACAAACCCUCCACACACUCCCAUAGUUUUGCCUGUGCCGCGAUACACGCACGCGCGCUCAAAUGUGCUCCAUGGCCGUGUGUGUGUGUGUGUGUCUGUCUGUCUGUCUCUCUGUGUGUCAGUACUAAUAGCAUUAUUGACAUGCCAUUCUCUGGCGUUGUCGCCGGUGUGGCUCGUUCUGGUUUCGCCGUGCCCACGGUUUCCCCUUUAUUUCUAGCCGUUCACUUCUUUUUGCCGUCGUUGUCUCUUUGGGGUAGUCGCGUUGGUGCUUCUUUUUUUCUCUCCUCAUGAUUUCAUUUGGUUGCCCUCCUCCCCCCCCCCCCCCCCCACCCACCCGCCCGCCAUGACUCGCUGUCUUCGUCGUCGUCGUCGUCGUGUGUGCCUGCGUGCGCGCGUGAUGUUGUUUGUCUGUCUCUGUCUCUCUACAUGUUUGGUUGCUUUGCGUGUUUCUGAGCGUCACCUUUAAAUAUUUGUCUGUCGUGAUGGCGCGUAUUUCUUCUUUGCCGUAUUUUUUAUUUUGUGUGUGCGUGUGCGUGUGUGUGUGGGGGGGGGGGAGGCCUCUGUCUCUCUUUUUUUGUUUUAUUUUCCUGGUCGUAACGUAUCUCUCCCCCUCCCCCCUUUCCCGCCUGUUUGACGCGUUCACCCCUCUCGACAUUUUACGCUUGGCGUGUCGUAUGUUUAUGUUUGCGAAUGUGAUGCAUCUUUUUGUUUCGCAAGUGCAAACACCACCCCCACCCACAGAAAUCGUCCCGCUACAACCCCCCUCCCCCUCCUCUUCCCUCCCUUCCCCCGCCUCCCCGGCUGCCGACUCCCUCCACUACUGCGACUUCGAAACACUUAGCACACACGCACACACGCACACACGCACACACACACACACGCACACGCACACACACUUUAACUUCAUAAAGCGAACAAGCACAGGUAAAAACAAAAC